rnacentral:rRNA from 1 species
UACGGGGGGGGCAAGCGUUGUUCGGAAUUACUGGGCGUAAAGGGCGCGUAGGCGGCCUGUUAAGUCGAACGUGAAAUCCCCGGGCUCAACCCGGGAACUGCGUCCGAUACUGGCAGGCUUGAAUUCGGGAGAGGGAUGUGGAAUUCCAGGUGUAGCGGUGAAAUGCGUAGAUAUCUGGAGGAACACCGGUGGCGAAGGCGGCAUCCCGGACCGAUAUUGACGCUGAUGCGCGAAAGCCAGGGGAGCAAACGGG